rnacentral:snoRNA from 1 species
AAACCAUGCAUCAGGCAUUUUCUAAUUAAUUCCUUGAACUGCUCCCAUGCUUCGUAUAAUGUCUCAUUUUCAUAUUGUCUAAACAAUUUAAUAUCAUUCCUUAACUU